GCCUUCGUCGUGCAGUGGUCAGCACGCUGGACGCGUCUUCCAGAGGUCCGUGGUUCGAGUCCCAGCGAAGGCG
rnacentral:tRNA from 1 species